rnacentral:misc_RNA from 1 species
GAAUUGCGAUAUGUAAUGUGAAUUGCAGAAUUCAGUGAAUCAUCGAAUCUUUGAACGCACCUUGCACCCUCUGGCAUUCCGGAGGGUAUGCCUGUUUGAGUGUCAUUAAUCUCUCAACACAAGAAAUUUCAUUUCUUGUGCUUGGAUAUUGAGGGUUUUGCUGGCGUUAACAACUGUCAGCUCCUUUUAAAUGUAUUAGCAGAGCAGUGUGAGGACUGGCCUCAGUUUGAUAAGAAGUUAUCUGUGCUGUCGCUGGGUUUCCUCUUUGUGCUUGGCUUCAAAUUGUCUUUGGACUGCCUCUCGAGGCAACAACAUCUUUUAUUGAUCGACCUCAAAUCAGGUAGGACUACCCGCUGAACUUAA